rnacentral:rRNA from 1 species
GCAAGGGGAGCGGCAGACGGGUGAGUAACGCGUGGGAACCUACCUGAAGGUACGGAACAACUCCGGGAAACUGGAGCUAAUACCGUAUGUGCCCGAAAGGGGAAAGAUUUAUCGCCUUCAGAUGGGCCCGCGUCAGAUUAGCUAGUUGGUGAGGUAACGGCUCACCAAGGCGACGAUCUGUAGCUGGUCUGAGAGGAUGAUCAGCCACACUGGGACUGAGACACGGCCCAGACUCCUACGGGAGGCAGCAGUGGGGAAUAUUGGACAAUGGGCGCAAGCCUGAUCCAGCCAUGCCGCGUGAGUGAUGACGGCCUUAGGG